rnacentral:snoRNA from 1 species
GAAGCAGGAUUCAGACUACAAUAUAGCUGUUUAGUGCUGUGUUGUCGUUCCCCCUGCUCAAAGUAAGGUUGUUUCUUACUAUACCUGUCUGCUCUAUCCCUGUAGCAGCCAGGGACGCUUGGUCUCAUACAAGC